rnacentral:rRNA from 1 species
AAAUUGAAGAGUUUGAUCAUGGCUCAGAUUGAACGCUGGCGGCAGGCCUAACACAUGCAAGUCGAACGGUAACAGGAAGCAGCUUGCUGCUUUGCUGACGAGUGGCGGACGGGUGAGUAAUGUCUGGGAAACUGCCUGAUGGAGGGGGAUAACUACUGGAAACGGUAGCUAAUACCGCAUAAUGUCGCAGGACCAAAGAGGGGGACCUUCGGGCCUCUUGCCAUCAGAUGUGCCCAGAUGGGAUUAGCUUGUUGGUGAGGUAACGGCUCACCAAGGCGACGAUCCCUAGCUGGUCUGAGAGGAUGACCAGCCACACUGGAACUGAGACACGGUCCAGACUCCUACGGGAGGCAGCAGUGGGGAAUAUUGCACAAUGGGCGCAAGCCUGAUGCAGCCAUGCCGCGUGUAUGAAGAAGGCCUUCGGGUUGUAAAGUACUUUCAGCGGGGAGGAAGGUGUUGUGGUUAAUAACC